rnacentral:tRNA from 1 species
UCCCUGGUGAUCCAGUGGUUAAGACUGUGUUUCCACUGCAGGGGACACAGGUUCAAUCCCUGUCUGGGGAA